rnacentral:rRNA from 1 species
AACGAACGCUGGCGGCAUGCCUAACACAUGCAAGUCGAACGAGACCUUCGGGUCUAGUGGCGCACGGGUGCGUAACGCGUGGGAACCUGCCCUUAGGUUCGGAAUAACUCCCCGAAAGGGGUGCUAAUACCGGAUAAUGUCUUCGGACCAAAGAUUUAUCGCCUUUGGAUGGGCCCGCGUUGGAUUAGCUAGUUGGUAGGGUAAAAGCCUACCAAGGCGACGAUCCAUAGCUGGUCUGAGAGGAUGAUCAGCCACACUGGGACUGAGACACGGCCCAGACUCCUACGGGAGGCAGCAGUGGGGAAUAUUGGACAAUGGGCGGAAGCCUGAACCAGCAAUGCCGCGUGAGUGAUGAAGGCCUUAGGGUUGUAAAGCUCUUUUACCCGGGAUGAUAAUGACAGUACCGGGAGAAUAAGCUCCGGCUAACUCCGUG